GGUGAUAAUCAUAAUAUGGUAAUAUGAUUAUAAUCAAAAUAUAACGUCCAACUUUCGGUAAAAUUUCGAUAAAUAAUAGAUAGGCAAACAAUCGAACAGACAUCAAAAUAAACUAAAAUAUUCCUUGCAAUAGUCAGAACCUAAUUGUUAAGCGUUAUGUUAAUUGGUUCUACUAUGAUUUGUUUUUGUCUAUGAAUAACUAUUCUACAAGAAAUCUUUUACCAAAAAAAAAGUGUCAAAUGUGCAAAAGAUAGUGUUUGAUUUUCGGUGUAAUUUUUAUAAUUAUUUGGGUAAAACCGAAAAAAAUGAGAAAAACGC